GUUUACCGUGAAAAAAUUAGAGUGUUCAAAGCAGGCAGAUCCAAUUUUCUGCCACCGAAUACAUUAGCAUGGGAUAAUGGAAUAGGACCCUGUCCUCCUAUUUUCAGUUGGUUUUGGCAGCGCGAGGACUAGGGUAAUGAUUAAUAGGGAUAGUUGGGGGCAUUAAUAUUUAAUUGUCAGAGGUGAAAUUCUUGGAUUUAUGAAAGAUUAACUUCUGCGAAAGCAUCUGCCAAGGAUGUUUUCAUUAAUCAAGAACGAAAGUUAGGGGAUCGAAGACGAUCAGAUACCGUCGUAGUCUUAACCAUAAACGAUGCCGACCAGCGAUUAGGAGACGUUGAAUACAAAACACCACCAUCGGUGCGGUCGUCCUUGGCGUCGGUUUCGGCCGGCGCGAGGGCGGCUUAGCCCGGUGGCACCGGUGAAUGACUCCCCUAGCAGCUUGUGAGAAAACCUAGUUAGG
rnacentral:rRNA from 1 species